GAUGAAGAACGCAGCGAAAUGCGAUAAGUAGUGUGAAUUGCAGAAUUCAGUGAAUCAUCGAAUCUUUGAACGCACAUUGCGCCCUUUGGUAUUCCUUAGGGCAUGCCUGUUCGAGCGUCAUUUAAACCUUCAAGCUCAGCUUGGUGUUGGGUGACUGUCCGCCGCCUCCGGGCGGUCGGACUCGCCUCAAAUUGAUUGGCGGCCGGUACUUUGGCUUCGAGCGCAGCAGAAACGCGAACUCGAGGCCGUCGUCCUGGCUCCCAGAAGCUAUCUUCUUAGUUUGACCUCGGAUCAGGUAGGGAUACCCGCUGAACUUAAGCAUAUCAAUAAGCGGAGA
rnacentral:misc_RNA from 1 species